rnacentral:tRNA from 1 species
GAAACUUAGGAUCAAUUUAAACCGAAG